rnacentral:lncRNA from 1 species
UCGUCUAUUGCUGAAAUAUGCUAUUCCCGCUUUCGUUGAUGUAUGUGCUGUCUUGCUUCUCAACUGCAAAUCCACUGCAGCAUCACACGUAUCUCCAUCCUUUUGACACCAGGAUAUUUAAAAAAUAUUAUUUAAUAGAAAAGAGAAAACUAUGAAGAACUCGAUUCGGAUGCAUGUAAAAAGUACAGUGGGUGAUAAAUUUCUAAUAGACUCUAGUUAAGAAAGGCAUCAAAUGGGGUUGAUUUUAAAAUUUAUAUUUAAAUUAGAAAAAUGAUUUUAAUGCAACAAGAAACGUACAUAUCUCCCGUAUGGAUUGCUUCUUUUAGGAGUUUUUAUAGAAAAAUGUACUGUAACGAUUUUUUAUAUAUAUAAAGUAAAAAGUUAAUUAAAAAUUGUGUUUACGAAAAAUGUAAAAAUUUUGUUGCGUAAAAUCACAUUCCAAACAAGGUAAAUCGUCUGCAUUCGCAUGACAAAUUUGGGGUGAAUUAGGUGCAUUAUGAUGUCAGCAUAGCCCAAAAAUGGUUUAAGAAGAGAAGAAAAAGAAAGUUGUUUAGUUCAUCAAAAGAGGGAAGAAACUCAACUAUUAUUGGCAAUUUAACCGUGUAUUGAUUUAACCAUUCUCAACGUUUUCAAGACAAAUUAUACUGAACUAUAUCUGCUAAUAAGUUACAAUAGCUAAAUUGGUCAGUGAUCCUUACCAAGAUAAAAAGAAGCACGUAUUUGUCGGAUCUUCAGAAAAUAACUCUUCAAUUAGUUUUGCUAGAAAUACUUAAUAGUAAGAUAAACUCUCAAGUGCCCAAAAAAAAAAAAAGAAUAACUUUUCCGCUAUACUGAAAAACAAAUAAGAUUUACAAAAUAAAUGCAUAAAAGAGUAAAAUCGAUAUUCUCUAAUAAUAAACUAUUUGUACUAUAAAUGUUAAUUAUUGAUUUUUUUUUUUUGCUUUACCGAAUUUAUUAAAACGUAUGCAAUGUGACGGAUUGGUUGCUUUUGGAUGUCUUUUUUGCGUAACGAUUUAGUCGUGCAAGCUGUAACAGCACAUCAGCAAGCCAUCCCAGUCUGUAAUAAUAAAACUCUUUUGCUGGCCACAAGCAAUUGAUCCAUUUGUCCCAAAAUAGAAGAAGUUCCAGAUAAGGCAUAAAGAUAAGAAGUUCCAGAUAAGGCACAAAUAUAAAGGAACUUCUUUUUUUUUUUUUGAUAAUUUCAGAAACCUCCCCUAAGAUUUCUGAUAAUUUCAUUGAGCUCCUCUAUAAUUUGGAAAAUUACACUUAACUCCCUUAAUUUGAUAGUUUUAAUAACAAAACCUUAAAAUAAUAUUGAUUUGGUCAAUUUUUUAAAUGAAUACCCAAAAAUGCUCUUGUGUAAUGAGUUUUAAUUUAUUUUUCUAUAUAAUUAUAAGAUUAUUUAGUAUAAUUAUAAGGAAAAGGUACCAAAUUUUUCAUGUCCAUAACUACUAUAAACAACUAUAAUAAUAGUUUUAUUGCUAUGAUAUAAUACUUUUAAUGGUAUCUUAUUAUGAAUUUAGAUAUAUAAGAUAGAAAAGAAAAUGUUGAAAUAAUUCAUUUAGAUUUUAUAAAUUUUUAGAGUAGCAGGAUUAUCAUAAUUUAGUAGUGCCUUUGGACCCUUUCUUUUUUAUUUAUUAUUAAUUUUAAUACCAAAAUAUAGAAAACAAAGAUCAGCAAAAAUAUUGGAUAACAUAUAAAAUUAACUCGUCAAAAAAAAUUAUUAGUCCGACAUUUAGUUAUAAUAGAAACUAGAGGCAAUAAUAGUAGUUCUAUAGUUUUAUUGGUGAAAAAUUAAAAAAAAAAGGAAUAAGAAGGAAAAAAUAAUUUUAAAACUCAUUCUAAGUAUUAGUAUACCAAAUAAAGGAAUUUCACUAAAAUAUUUAAGAGUAAAAUUGUCAUUUUAAAUAAUAAGGGAGGUAUGUGUAAUUUUUUAAACUUUAAGGGAGUUCACUGGCAUUAUAGAAACCUCAAGGGGAGGUUUCUAAAAUUAUCCCUUCUCACAAGCUAGUCGUGUUAUCCACAAUUCUUGGAAGGAAGGAUACCUUAACCAUUUGAGACUCCAAAGUCCCUUUUUGGGUGCUCCACCGCCAACGUCUUCAUCACCUAAAGGAAACGCGUGUAAAGUGUAAACGUUGACACAGGUACCAAAUUUGUGAAAAAGAAAAUAAAAAAUGCGUCAAAGUCCUAGUCAUCCAUCCCACGGUUUGCACGCAGGUGUUAAUUGUCAGACACGGCAGCACGUUUGUGCUUUCGUCUGGUCGGUUGUUGUACACUUGUGCUUGCAACCUUUUGAAGUAUCCGUUUGGAUUGGGAGUUCAUACACUUUUUCGUUAGAGUAAUGCACUUCAAAAAAUACUCUAAAUACAAUUUCAAAUAUAUCUAAUAAAACUGCUUUAAAAAAAAAAAUUUACCACCUUUUCCUUUCUUCGUUCACGAUCGGUCUAUGUCUCCGGUCCUCCUCUUUCCACUUCUCUUCUCUUUCCUUCUUUUUUUCCUUCUUUUUUCCAUGCUCCUUUCUCGUCCUCUCUUUAGCGCCACCCUUGAUACCUCCAUCAACCCCACCUUCACUGUACGUAUCACUUCCUACUCUUUUCCUCCUUCAUUCGCUUUCUCCCUCCCUCCCCUCUCUUCUUCCCCUCCUUCGCACUCAUUCCCUUCCCUACUCGCGACUAGAUCUAGUUGCGAUGACUCGAUUUGAUUUUGACCAAUUUAAAAGGAAUAUGGAGAAGACAGGAGAAAGUGGAUGUGGGGAGGGACGCAAUAUUGUUUGUUAGUGGUAGUUUGAGGAAGGGACGGGGAGGAGUGAUAGGUGGUUGUCAUUGGGGAGAAAACGAAAUUU